GAGUUUGAUCUUGGCUCAGAAUGAACGCUGGCGGCAUGCCUAACACAUGCAAGUCGAACGAAGGCUUCGGCCUUAGUGGCGCACGGGUGCGUAACGCGUGGGAAUCUGCCCUUGGGUUCGGAAUAACAGUUAGAAAUGACUGCUAAUACCGGAUGAUGUCGUAAGACCAAAGAUUUAUCGCCCAAGGAUGAGCCCGCGUAGGAUUAGCUAGUUGGUGGGGUAAAGGCCCACAAGGCGACGAUCCUUAGCUGGUCUGAGAGGAUGAUCAGCCACACUGGGACUGAGACACGGCCCAGACUCCUACGGGAGGCAGCAGUGGGGAAUAUUGGACAAUGGGCGAAAGCCUGAUCCAGCAAUGCCGCGUGAGUGAUGAAGGCCUUAGGGUUGUAAAGCUCUUUUACCCGGGAUGAUAAUGACAGUACCGGGAGAAUAAGCUCCGGCUAACUUCGUGCCAGCCGCCGCGGU
rnacentral:rRNA from 1 species